rnacentral:tRNA from 1 species
GCCCGUGUGGCGGAAUGGUAGACGCAGCAGACUUAAAAUCUGCAGCUCUUUUGGGUGUGGGGGUUCGAGUCCCUCCACGGGCACCA